rnacentral:rRNA from 1 species
UACGAAGGGGGCUAGCGUUGCUCGGAAUCACUGGGCGUAAAGGGUGCGUAGGCGGGUCUUUAAGUCAGGGGUGAAAUCCUGGAGCUCAACUCCAGAACUGCCUUUGAUACUGAAGAUCUUGAGUUCGGGAGAGGUGAGUGGAACUGCGAGUGUAGAGGUGAAAUUCGUAGAUAUUCGCAAGAACACCAGUGGCGGAGGCGGCUCACUGGCCCGGUACUGAUGCUGAGGCACGAAAGCGUGGGGGAGCAAACAGG